rnacentral:lncRNA from 1 species
UUUUUGUAUUUUUAGUAGAGACGGGGUUUCACCGUUUUAGCCGGGAUGGUCUUGAUCUCCUGACCUCGUGAUCCGCCCGCCUCGGCCUCCCAAAGUGCUGGGAUUACAGGCGUGAGCCACCGCGCCCGGCCAAAUGCUACCAUUGUUAAGUGCCAGGCGUCCCACCAUGCGGGUCUUCACUGCGUAUCCACGUAGCUGCACCACGCAGGCAUUCUUUCCUCCCUUUUGCAGAUGAUGGCACCAAAGUUCAAGACUCGCCCAGGGCCACCAAGACAGUCCUCUAGACUUUGGUCUUCCCUCCUUGCCUCCUCGGCCUGGGGUGGUGGCGCCUCGGUCUGAGAAGGGUCGAGGUCUGGGUGCUGCUAGUGGCCCUGGCUCAGUCUCAGAGCUGCCCGGAGGGGGUGAGGAUGGCUAACUUAAGGAGCACAGGCAGAGGCUUCCUGCUGGCAGGAAGAGGGCUGAGCUGCGGAAGGCCACCCAGGUGGAGUGUGCUGCACCUCCUUCAGUGGCCUUCAGGAGCUCUGUCCUCACCCAGGGAUUGGGGUGAGUCAGGGCAUGGGGAAACAGGCUCACAGAGCCCACCUGCUCACCCUGACCACCCCACCCCAGGGGACCCCAGGCUCUUGGCUCCCAGAAACGGAAACCAUGCCUGGGCCUGCUCCCCUUCCUUGGGCUGUGACCCCCCUGCCACAGAGGCCCCCCCCCCGCCACAGAGGUCCCCCCUGCCACAGAGGUCCCCCUGCCACAGAGGCCUGGUGGCCCCUGAGCUGCUGCUCCGAGUGGAAUGUCCUGGUCUAGAGGCCCUUGGCUGCUCCAGUGUCUUAAGACCCAUAUAUGAGUGCUGGCUCUGACCUUGAACAAGCUCCUCCAUCGCUCCAGGCCUCGUUUUUCAGGUGUAUAUGAUGAUAGUAUCUCUAGGCCUCGUUUUUCAGUUGUAAAGCAGGGAUGAUCAUAUGUGUUUAACUCCCAGAUUGUUAUCAAGUCAAGGACAACAAUAGGAAAACAUGUCACCUGUCAGCUCCACACAAGGCAAAGUAGGAUGGGUGACCCCUGACUAGGGGGUGGGAGUGCAGGGGGCACCCGACCCAUCUGGCCAGCCACAGCCUCUGUACCCUGCUCGCAUUUUCAGGCCUCAAUCCCCAAGCACUGUUGGCCCUGGACUGUUUCCCCCCCUCAAUUCUGUUUCUCAAUGCCUGCUUCUUCCCAGUAAGUGCCACACCCUGAGGGUGGGUGGGAGAGUGAGGCAGCACUGCCCACUUUGGCUGGGACUGGGCACUGCUGGGGACAGCACGGGCCACGUCUUCCCCAUCUCAAGACUGGCUUUUUGGCUAGGCAUUGUGACUCACGCCUGUAAUCUCAGCACUUUGGGAGGCUGAGGUGGGAGAAUUGCUUCAGCCCAGGAGUUCCAGACCAGCCUGGGCAAAAUAGCAAGAAUUCAUCUUUAUGAAAAAGAAAAAAAAAAUUAGCCAGGCAUGGUGGCACACACUUAUAGUCCCAGAUACUUAGGAGGCCGAGGUGGGAGGAUCCCUUGAGCCCAUGAGUUGGAGGCCGUGGUGAGCUAUCAGUUGCACCACUGCACUCCAGCCUGGAUGGCAGAGCAAGACCCCAACUCAAAAAAAAAAAAAAAAAAAAAAAGGCGGCCUUUUCCCAGCUGGCAGCACCCUGGCUAGUUAGGGUUUCUCCGAAUCUGCAACUCCUGUGUGAUGGCGGGUCUCAAAUGCUGGCAGCAGAGUCACCGGUCAGCGGCAAGACCUGGAGUCUCCAUUUGGAACCAGCACCCGGGAGCCUCUGCUGGGGGUGAUCAUGGAGCCGCACGUGGAGGCUGGUGGCUCUGAUGGUUCGAGCCGUUCCUCGGCAGCACAGCACACCCGCUCCUGAGGAGCCACGGAGCUCAUGAGCGUUGGCAAAGUGCUGUCAGUGCUGGCUGUAAGGAAACAGGCUUGACUUUUAACUCAGCCUUUCCCAAACUUGACUAUAAUACUUUCUUGAAAAUCAGAAUAACCACUAACAUCACAAAACGAGUGUUCUCAGGAGUGGGCAUGUUUAUCUCGUUCUCUUUUUUUUUUUCUUUUUGAGACGGAGCCUCGCUCUGUUGCCCAGGCUGGAGUGCAAUGGUGCGAUCUCGACUCACGGCAAUCUCCGUCUCCCCGGUUCAAGCGAUUCUCCUGCCUCAGGCUCCCGAGUAGUUGGGAUUACAGGCGCACGCCACCACGCCCGAUUAAUGUUUAUUUUUAGUACAGACGGGGUUUCUCCAUGUUGGUCAGGAUGGUCUCGAACUCCUGACCUCAGGUGAGCCUCCUGCCUUGGCCUCCCAAAGUGCUGGGAUUAUAGGCGUGAGCCACCACGCCCAGUCUUUUUUUAAAUAUUUGAGUGAAAUAAAGCCUAGGAGAUAUGUGUUCCAGGCGCCCAAGCUGUUAAUGUGGAGCUUGAAUGUGGCCUGGACCUGCCCUUUCCUCUUCUCCUUUCAUCCCCCUCCCUGCCGCCCACAUCCUGAACUGCUCUGAGCCUGCAGAAGAACCCAGCGGGAAUCUUCAGGGUUGUGGAAGGGUGUAGGGAUGGAAAGGGACCAGGAUUCGCCUGUUUGGCUGGGAAAAUCGGUAGAGGAGGGUGGCUCACACUUCUAAGAUGUCUGCACAAGCCCAGUUUGUUUGGGGGUUGGGGAGGAAGGUCUUUUCCUGGCCCACUGUCCCUCCCGAGUCAGCAGUCCCCCAGAGAGACGAAGAGCAGCUGGGCACGGCUGGAGCUGGUCGGUGGCAGAGAAUCUUGUCCUGCCUUUUCUUCUCAAGCUCAAAAUAGGCACAUGCAGCUAUUAACUGAUAUGCCAGAAGGGGCAUCCCUUACCCGGAGGAAAAUGGAUUUAUUGCUUUAUAAAAAAGAAGUCUAAUAAAACUGAAGAGAAAAUAACUAAAAAUCCAAACACAACUCACCCCUCUAAGCACGCCCAGGAGGUCUCAAGACACACUUCUGGGGGCAGUCAAGGUGGGCGGGUUGGUGGGCCAGGCGGACGGGCCUGGCGGCUCCCGCCUGGUCAGUGGGGAUAAG